rnacentral:rRNA from 1 species
CAGCUGAUUGUUCGGGAAGCAAUUCCUGGGUAACCAAGCCAACGCGUGAAGCUGACCGCCUGGGAAGUACGGUCGCAAGAUUAAAACUCAAAGGAAUUGACGGGGACCCGCACAAGCGGUGGAUGAUGUGGAUUAAUUCGACGCAACGCGAAAAACCUUACCUAGCCUUGACAUGUCAGGAACCCGGAUGAAAGUCUGGAGUGCCCGCAAGGGAGCCUGAACACAGGUGCUGCAUGGCUGUCGUCAGCUCGUGUCGUGAGAUGUUGGGCUAAGUCCCGCAACGAGCGCAACCCUAGUCAUCAGUUGCUACGCAAGAGCACUCUGAUGAGACCGCCGGUGACAAACCGGAGGAAGAUGGGGAUGACGUCAAGUCCUCAUGGCCCUUACGGCUAGGACCUCACACGUCAUAUAAUGGUCGGAACAGAGGGCAGCGAAGCCGGGAGGCGGAGCUAAUCCCAGAAAACCGAUCGUAGUCCGGAUUGCAGUCUGCAACUCGACUGCAUGAAGUCGGAAUCGCUAGUAAUCGCGGAUCAGCAUGCCGCGGUGAAUACGUUUCCCGGUUCUUGUACACACCGCCCGUCACACCAUGGGAGUGGGGUUUGCCAGAAGGCGUUUGUCCAACCGCAAGGAGGACGGCGACCACGGUGGGUUCAAUGACUGGGGCGAAGUCGUAACAAGGUAUC